AGCAGCAGCCACGGUAAUACGAAGGGGGCUAGCGUUGCUCGGAAUGACUGGGCGUAAAGGGCGCGUAGGCGGUUUUGACAGUCAGAUGUGAAAUUCCUGGGCUUAACCUGGGGGCUGCAUUUGAGACGUCAAGACUAGAGUGUGAGAGAGGGUUGUGGAAUUCCCAGUGUAGAGGUGAAAUUCGUAGAUAUUGGGAAGAGCACCGGUGGCGAAGGCGGCAACCUGGCUCAUUACUGACGCUGAGGCGCGAAAGCGUGGGGAGCAAACAGGAUUAGAUACCCCCGUAGUCCCUGUCUCUUAUAC
rnacentral:rRNA from 1 species